GCGCAGCAGUCGCGAAAACUCCGCAAUACGCGAAAGCGUGACGGGGCUACCCCGAGUGUCGUCCGCUGAGGACGACUUUUCCACGCUGUAAGGAGGCGUGGGAAUAAGGAGAGGGCAAGUCUGGUGUCAGCCGCCGCGGUAAUACCAGCUCUCCGAGUGGUAGGGACGAUUAUUGGGCUUAAAGCGUCCGUAGCCGGCUCAGCAAGUCUCCCGUUAAAUCCAACGAUUCAAUCGUUGGGCUGCGGGGAAUACUCUGCGGCUUGGGGGCGAGGGAGGUCGGCGGUAGUCCCGGGGUAGGGGCGAAAUCCUAUAAUCCCGGGAGGACCACCAGUGGCGAAGGCGGCCGACUAAAACGCGCCCGACGGUGAGGGACGAAAGCUGGGGGAGCGAACGGGAUUAGAUAUGAAGUUGAGUUUUUACCAGCUUCACUAGAAACCCCGGUAGUCC
rnacentral:rRNA from 1 species